AGUGGCAGACGUUUAUCAAGUAACGCGUGGGAACCUUCCCUGUGGUACGGAAUAACUUCGGGAAACCGAAGCUAAUACCGUAUAUCUCCUCCGGGAGAAAGAUUUAUCGCCAUAGGAUGGGCCCGCGUUGGAUUAGCUAGUUGGUAGGGUAAUGGCCUACCAAGGCAACGAUCCAUAGCUGGUCUGAGAGGAUGAUCAGCCACACUGGGACUGAGACACGGCCCAGACUCCUACGGGAGGCAGCAGUGGGGAAUAUUGGACAAUGGGCGCAAGCCUGAUCCAGCCAUGCCGCGUGAGUGAAGAAGGCCUUAGGGUUGUAAAGCUCUUUUGGCGGGGACGAUAAUGACGGUACCCGCAAAAUAAGCCCCGGCUAACUUCGUGCCAGCAGCCGCGGUAAUACGAAGGGGGCUAGCGUUGUUCGGAAUCACUGGGCGUAAAGCGCACGCAGGCGGAUUGAUAAGUCAGGGGUGAAAUCCCGGGGCUCAACCUCGGAAUUGCCUUUGA
rnacentral:rRNA from 1 species